ACGUAAAGACCCUAACUGACCUAUUAUUUAAUCAAAUCACGAGUGUGCAACUUGAGGAGGCUAUAAAAGGCACUUUCUCUGGCAACUGCUAUGAUUUUACUCGCAAAGAAGAUGCAGUUGGUCUAUGUAGCAGUUUUGCUGACUUUGCGUGGAGCUUCGUCUAACCUGGUAAAGCGCGAUGAACCGUUCCAAAAAGACGAUUUGAUUGAAAGUAAAUGUAAAAAAGCGACUGUUGUAGAUCAUUAUACAGGUUUUUACAAGACGUUUAUAGCCACAGUGGUUUGUCUAGAAGCACGAGAUAAAUCAGCAGAAGCAUGUGAUGUUCUAAAUCAAGAUACAGUAAGGGGAUGUCUUAAGGCAGUGGGCGAUGUUGCACAACGUUGCUUACAAGAGGAAGAGAGAUAUUUUCCAAAAUUUUUUCUAAUUCAUUGGACAACUUCUUAGACUUGGCCUGCAGUGCAGAUAACUUUACACAAUUGGUAACCAGUCCGAGUGCUACCGAGUGUAUGGAGAAAAUUCCCAGUCACAACUUUUUCGACGUUUGUUCUGACAACCGUCAACCGGGUGCGAAUAAUAAAGAUAUUAUUUUCGAAAAAGAAAAGUUGUGCGCUGACCUGGACGAGCUUCAUGACUGUCGGAAACACGUAUUAAAAAAGACCUGUCCUGAAAAUGAAACCGUCAUUAACAUUUUAAAUGAAGUUCAUAAAGCAAUUUCCAUGACUUGUAAGGAGGAAAUUUAUUAGAGAUGAUCUGCACCUAAUGAUUAUCAGAACUAUUAACCAAGUCCUUAUAUCAAAUGAUGCCCUUUUUUGUAAUGAAUGACAAAUAAAACUAAGUAAUAUAAUUUUA